rnacentral:rRNA from 1 species
GGACUACACGGGUUUCUAAUCCUGUUUGCUCCCCACGCUUUCGUGUCUCAGCGUCAGUACUCGUCCAGUUGGCCGCCUUCGCCACCGGUGUUCCUCUCGAUAUCUACGAAUUUCACCUCUACACCGAGAAUUCCACCAACCUCUCCGGUACUCAAGCCACGCAGUAUCGAGUGCACUUCCUGGGUUGAGCCCAGGGCUUUCACAUCCGACUUACAUGGCCGCCUACACACGCUUUACGCCCAGUAAUUCCGAACAACGUUUGCACCCUCUGUCUUACCGCGGCGGCUGGCAC